GCGGCGGCGGGGGGGUCUCCCUGCACGCCGCCCACCUUAUCAAGUCUCCCUCCCCCUGCAGGCAUCUUCCUUUCAUAGCCUCAUCAGCCUCUCCUCAUAGAGAAGCGCUUUUCCCCCUCGAAUCGUGCUCGUUGCCCUUCUCUGGACCGUCCCCAGGUCUUCUGUGUCCUUCUCCAGGUGCGGAGAGCAGAGCUGGGCACGGCAUUCAAGGGGUGGACGCCCCGCGGGGCGUCGCGGUGACGCGUUCGGUCCCGCCGCGUAACCCGCUCUGCGUACCUGCCUGUCGGGAUGUCCUUGCUUCGGGGUUGCACCUUAUUUAAGGGCAUCGCGGGGGAAACGGUCGAGGUGGCGUUACGGAUAAGGACCGGCAAAGUCAGGACCGAGGGAACCUGUGUCGCUGUCUCGGAAGUUGCGGUAAACUGACUCCGCGCUGUACGCUGGCAGUACACCAGAUAGAGGUUAUUAUGGAUAUAAUAACCACCAGAUGGAGGUUAUUGUUAAAAACUGGCAGUACGCCAGAUAGAGGUUGUUAUAGAUACAAUAACCGCCAGAUAGAGGUUAUUGUUAACAUGGCAGUGAAAACCUUGGAAGCUGCCCUGGGUAGGUAGGGCUGGGAGUCCUGUCCGUGGUGUUCACAGGCCCUCCCACCCCCCUCAACUAAGAGAGAACAAAAGUCCGAGAUGCCAAAAAUGCCCUAUAAAAUGGCACAAGCUAAAAGCCAGGGUGAUGAGGAUGCUGCGCCAGCGGGGAAACAGCUGGAUAGUUGUUGUAGAUGAGUUUGCUUCACUUCAGCUUUCUUCCAUGACCUCCCACAAUGAUGAUGGCAGUACACCAGCAUAAUCUCAGGGAUCAGUAUGUCCUGCCCCUCGCUUUUCCCGUAAUGGAAAGAAAAACAAAAGAGGGAAGCUCUUUUCAUCUGGUCUGUUUGAACAUCUCCCGCAGCAGUGGGGCACUGACAGCUCUGCUUCUUCCCUUUGACAAGUUAGGACGUUCUUGAUGUUUUGGGGGAGUGUUCCUAAAACUAUACCAAAAGCACAAGCGCUUCUGUGGGAUGGCUUGGAUAGGGACGGUCCUUCUGUGAGCAGGGGCUUGGGCUAGAUGACCUCCUGAGGUCCCUGCCAGCCCUGCUCUUCUGUGAUUCCUUGGCUUACUUUGGCUAAUCAAAAAUUCAUCCAAAACUUUAAAGUUACAAGGAAUUAGCCUCACUUCCUGGAUAGCGUGUCUGGUAAAUAUUCUCGUGCAGCACAGAUGCUACCUGUACUUCUCCUUUUUGACCAUACGCCUAGAAAUAAUGGUCACAAGCUGGCAGAGGUAGAUUCACACUAGACAUCAGGAGGCGCUACUUCACUGUCAGGGCGUCUAGGACCUGGAACCAACUUCCAAGAGAAGUGGUGCUCGCUCCUACCCUGGGGGUCUUUAAGAGGAGGUUAGACGAACACCUUGCCGGGGUCGUUUGACCCCAGUACUUUCUCCUGCCACGGCAGGGGUCGGACUUGAUGAUCUGCUCAGGUCCCUUCCGACCCGGCCAACUAUGAAACUAUCUUGUACACGUGGAGUUUUUUAAGCUCAAAAAUGCCUUUUUUUUUUUUUUUUUAACGUUAUGGUUAAAGUUAGUCAUGGGUAGUGCUAGCCAUCUUGCGAGGGGAAUCUUAUUUAUCCUUUUGCAUAUGGCAGUUUCUAUUUAUUGUGGGGAAAAGGGGAGCAGAUAGUUUUUGUGCCAGCAUUGGUAUGCUUUUGUGACAAUUUAGCAAGGUUAGGUUAAGCAAGCAGUUUUUUUAACAGUAAGAAAUGAGUAUGAUAUUAAUAUGGUUACAUUUAACAGACUGCAUGGUAACAGAUGUAGUGCUGCUUGGAUGUGGUUGGCAGUUGUGUACUUCUAGUUGAACAUUUAAUUUUAGUUACUGCUCUCAUAAUAGAAUUGAUGAAAUAUCACUGCAACUGCCUUAUUGCUUUUCCUUGAGCUUCCUUCUGCCUGUCUCAUGUCACACAUUUAAUCAUAUUUUGCUGUAAUAUUAUUUAAUAGCAGUAAUUGUGAUGACAGUUUUACAAGUGGAACUGAUAGUUAACUUCAUUAAAUGGGAGCUGUUCAGGUUGUUGUUUUUAGAAACUGCCCAAGUUUUAAAUGAAAACUAUCCUGAGUCCAAAUAAAAAUAGAUAUACCUUAUCAUGUAGCAGAAAUAAAUUGGGGAGGACCACAAAUUCUUCUUUUAAGUAGAAGGGCCACACAUUGAUCUGUUUAUGGUAAACUUUGUUUCAUUUCCCACUGCAGCAAUACAUUAGCCGUUUGCAUCUUGCAGUCAGUGUGAAAAGUGAUAUUUGCUGGGGAUUCACUUUUGAGAGCCUAGAAAGUAGAGGCGCGCGCGCGCACACACACAAUUGCCAUCACAUCCAUAGCCCUAGAAGUCCAUGCACUUUUCUGAAAAGUCAAGUAUCAGCAGAAAAUGAAAGAAUUAUCAUGCCACACUUUGAUUUAACAGUUCACAUUUGAUAAAUGUCAAUGAAAACCUGUAGUUAACAUGUAAUUGCACAAUAAUAAACAAUUGUGCCUGGUUAAAGCAGCUGAAAAUUAUGCUAAAGUAGAUGUAUUUCAUUGUCACAUACCAGAUAUCUUUCUUAUUGGUUUGUGAAUAGAAUGGAUUAGAUUUUUUCAAAUUUGUUUUUGGUUUUUGGAUGACUUUGUUUGAAAUUUUGAUUUAAAAAAAAAUCCUGCUGUUUUAACAGCUCCUUCCUGACUAUAAAUGAUGGUGACUAUGAAAGUUUCUAAAAUUAUUGACUUAGUGUGUGUGGUCUUUAGAAGAAAUAGCAGCUUGCAUUAAAUAAGCAAAUAAGUUCCUUUAGAGCUACUUGAUCUUAACUCUGAAAUUAGAAUUUAAGAUUAAACGCUCGAACCUUACAGUAUUUUGUUAAAGGAAAACAAUCCUAUUCUUCAUAGCGUUUGUUUUUACACAAAAUUGACUAUAGAAUCAAAUUUACCAAACCAUAGUAGCUUUUUGUAUCGUGUUUAUUGCUUUAAACAGAAAAUGGCGCAAGUCGCAGGUCAGGCCUACUAAUGUUGAAAUGUUGCCAUCUAGUAAAUUGUGGUUAGACUGCUUAGCAUAGUUGCAUUAUUCUGCCUUUAUUAGAAUGCGAGAGGCAAGGACUUCUGGACCGUCGCAGUUACAACAUCAUUCUUGUGCUACUGUAUAUGAUAGUGCAUAUUUCUUGUUUGAAGGAGCACAUUAGAGAAUUAUUAUUUUUUUUUUUUUUAGUAUAGCGCACCACAUGGCGAAAUGAGAACCCAAAAUAACCCACUAGGGACUUUGGUAGCACCUUUUUAACAUUUCCUGAGGUGUCAUUUUAACUGAAAAUAGUAAAUAAAACAGACAAUAACUGUUUAAUUGUCCAGCGUUAAUUUUCCUUGAAGGUUUUACUGUAAUGAGAAAUGUCUUGGUUUUGCUUCUCACUGGCUAAAAUCAGUGUCUGUUAUGACUGUUUAAAGCCCUCAUAGAAGGUAGACAUGGUAGAAACUGGCUGUGAUCAUUUUAUUGAUUCCUCACCUUCAAUUUAAGAAUAUCUUAAUGACAAUUAUUAGAAUUGUUUAGCAAAUACAGGAAUGCAGAAUAACUCGGAAGCCAAGCACUGCAAAACUGCAGUGCUUAGCUGCAGAGGAAUAGCAUUUGCUAGCAUCCAGGCUAUAAAACACAAUUAAGUUUUGACUUCUUGCGGAUGCACUUGAAAUGGCACCCAUGUAAACUAUGGUAAAAGACCUGCUGAUAGACUGGCAAUAUGCAAGACUUCAGACUCCACCAUAGGCACUGAUUUGGAAAUAUCACUAGUUCAUAGAAUACUUGGUUCCAAAUUCUGGCUGAUCAGACAGUAAAAGGCAUUUAUAACCACAUGUCUAAAGUAUCACCGGAGAAAGCAAGAGGGACUAGUGCAGUGGGUUAAUUGCAUUGUCUGUCUUCUCCCCAGAAUAAAAAUGAUAGCAAGGGCUAUAGCAAAGCUCUACAGAGUUACUUGGCAUGUUUCUAAAUUGCUUGGAAUAUUGCAAGAUUAAGGACUUGUUUGCACAGGGUGUAGCUACCUGAUAUUAGCCCGAGUUGCUAUGGACUGUGUCCACAUGAUGUAAUUUGUUAUGGAGAAGUAACUAGAGAGGUACAGCAUAGUCUGUCCUCCCAUUCCAAGCAGCAGCAUUUUCACCUUGUAGCAAGCUGCUGUAUAUUCAGGUGCCUGGCUCAUUCCUGUGUGUGCGGUGUUGAUGGUUUUUUGGCUGUGUGCCCGUAUUACUUUGCACCCCACCCAAACUAGUUUUUUCUCUCUCACUUCUGUAUCCUCUAAUGCACACUGGUUGUACUGAUUGGAAGUGACUUGUUUUUUCCGCCUUUAAAUGAAUGGUGUGCAGCCAGGUUUGAUACUUUGUGCUUUUGUACAUUUGCACUUGCCUGCUUCUGGAGUUGCACACUAACGUUUUAUUCUAGCCUUGUGCGUUUCCUUAGCAUGUGUUCAGAGAUUUUGGAUUUUCUCACCCUGUAGGAUGAGGUGAAGUUUCAGGAAAUCCUGGCGUCUUAAUCUUGCAACAUGGGUAUUUUUGAGGCUGUCAAAAGAUGCCUCCGUGGGGUCAUAAUUGAAUGCCAUGCACAUUGUUUUGAAACUGAGAGUAUGCAAAGGCUUUCGAGGGGGCAGAGGACAAAACGUCUCCAGCAGUGUUUGAGGCACCUCUCCGGAUAGCAAGGAGCUAAGGAUUUUGGCACAGAACACAAGUGUUUAUGAUCUUGCUAAUGAAGCAAAGAAGUGGAGGACUCCAGGACCAACAGCAGCUCUGGGGAAAGAGGUACCUGGAAGUCGGGACCGGAGAUGCUUGAAAAACCUCCGGAGACGGACCUACACUCCACCUCCAUACCCAUAAGCCUUUCAGCUGUGGAAGAACCCAGUCUCCUAGCACUGCUGUGGAGGAGACUGAGGCUGCACCUGAAAUGCUUGCCGUUGCCUUUAUCAGCUGCCUCAUGUCAUGUUGUGAAGAAAAGAAAACAAGAAGUGUUUGACAUUGUAGAAGUGUGAGAUAUAAGACUGUGUGUGUCAGGAAAUAAGGCAGUUGUUGAAGAAUGAGAGAGGGGAAGGCCUCUCCAAAGCCAGGUGUCUGAAAGAGAGGCUUUUCCCUGACCCAAGAGACUGAAAUGGAAAGUUGCAGAGCCAGCCGGCGGAGGCUUGUGAACAGACUAACGUGAUUGCAAAGCAUGCUCCAUGAAAAUUUCCACUUCCCCUCUACUAUUGUGCACUAAAGGAAGUGGUGGUGGUCACAUCAGCUUGACUCUUCAGUCCUACAGAUCCUAAGUAAUUUGCUCUGAGAACCACAAGAACCCCUAUCCCGUGGGUUUUUUCCAUGUGAGAGUGAAAGCGGCAGCUUCUGGGAGUGGACUACUUUGUUCCCUUCCUGUUCAAACAUGGGUUAUUGCCAUGCCAUUCCAGCCUUGGAGUCAUGAAUGGAAAUGCCAAAGCAAGGAGUGGCUACAUGAACUGAUAACUUCCUUGUUAUAGAUUUGCACAAUGUUACAGUAUUUGCAUCUUUGGAAAAAUAAAGAAUGGCUCUAUUUAAA